CGACAAUAUUUGACUUUUUUGUAUUUUUGUUCCUCUCCUGGGACAUCAUAGCAGACUUGAGAACUGAACUGAAGGGGGGCGCCAUGGAGAAAGUCGAGUUCGUGGAGCAAGUCAUGGACGAUGCCAUGGAAGGUGAAAGAAUUAGCAAUGGAUCUCUAGGCUGGUGAUGAUCAUGUAAACCCGUUUUAGUGGAUUUGGGGCUGUAGGUUUAUUCCAAAGCGUGGUGAGCACAUAUAGGUUUCUCUGUUUCCUGUUGGGUGACUGAAACCAACUAGAAAUAAAUGUUUUGGUUCAGUUUCAGAUGAAAACCAUUUUGGUCCUCUUUGCUAACUAACUGGAGAAGAGAAGAGGACUGGUACUGUCAUUCACAUUGCCCUAUGCACAUCAACACUUGGCUACUGUGCAUAUAAUUUUUUUUAGCCAUGUUUUCUGCAGGCUGUGUCGUAAUAUUGUGGCAUCUGGAUUAGUCAUCAAAGACAACUAACACUCAUGCUGGUACCUUUUCAUAAUCACAUAUGAAUUGUGUUCAAACUGUAGUGCUAUCUUGUUUAUUUGUUUCUUCUUAUUUGCUACUACUGUUGUCCAGACCAAAAAAAACCAAAGAAAUGUGCUAAUGAGCGAGUAAGUGUGCGCAAAGUGGUUCUUACUUCUUAAUGCACUGUGUGUUAAUGGUUCAUUUUGUGUUUUUCUUUGUAGAUUCAAACUAUAUAUGGAUGAUU